GCUCAUCUUAUUUUGUUGGAAUUUUUUACCAGUUUUCACUUUUUUUCUUCUCAUUCUAUUAUAAUUUCAGAAAGAAACAACAACAUAUGUAAAUAAGGGUCCAUUUAGGAUUAUAACCAUGUUGACUUAUUUGUUUAUCUAACUUUUGCUAAACAUUUUGGUUCUAUCUAUCUCCAUCUUAUUAUAAUUUCUGCAAAAACACAACAAAUUGGUAAAAAUCUUGUCUUGAGUGCAAUAACUCCUUAAUUGAUAAUUCUGGGUGUGUUAACUUAUUU
rnacentral:lncRNA from 1 species